GGGAUUGCCCUAGUAACGGCGAGUGAAGCGGCAAUAGCUCAAAUUUGAAAGCUGGCCUUUGGUCCGCAUUGUAAUUUGUAGAGGAUGCUUUUAGGCAGCCGCCGGUCUAAGUUCCUUGGAACAGGACGUCAUAGAGGGUGAGAAUCCCGUAUGUGACCGGCUCUGGCACCUUAUGUAAAGCUCCUUCGACGAGUCGAGUUGUUUGGGAAUGCAGCUCUAAAUGGGAGGUAAAUUUCUUCUAAAGCUAAAUACCGGCGAGAGACCGAUAGCGCACAAGUAGAGUGAUCGAAAGAUGAAAAGCACUUUGGAAAGAGAGUUAAAAAGCACGUGAAAUUGUUGAAAGGGAAGCGCUUGCAAUCAGACUUGGACUUGGCUGUUCAACCGGUCUUCUGACCGGCCUACUCAGUCUUGUCCAGGCCAGCAUCAGUUUCGGCGGCCGGAUAAAGGCCUUGGGAAUGUAGCUGUCCCUUCGGGGGCAGUGUUAUAGCCCAGGGUGUAAUACGGCCAGCUGGGACUGAGGUCCGCGCUUCGGCUAGGAUGCUGGCGUAAUGGUUGUAAGCGGCCCGUCUUGAAACACGGACCAAGGAGUCUAACAUCUAUGCGAGUGUUAGGGUGUCAAACCCUUACGCGUAAUGAAAGUGAACGGAGGUGGGAACCCGCAAGGGUGCACCAUCGACCGAUCCUGAUGUCUUCGGAUGGAUUUGAGUAAGAGCAUAGCUGUUGGGACCCGAAAGAUGGUGAACUAUGCCUGAAUAGGGUGAAGCCAGAGGAAACUCUGGUGGAGGCUCGCAGCGGUUCUGACGUGCAAAUCGAUCGUCAAAUUUGGGUAUAGGGGCG
rnacentral:rRNA from 1 species